rnacentral:rRNA from 1 species
AUGGCGUUCACCAUGCGCGCCGUGAAGGUUCCGCCGAACUCGGCGUCGAUGGGGGAGGCGCGGCACCGCGUGUUCGACUUCUUCAGGGAGGCCUGCCGCGCCAUCCCCUCCAUCAUGGAGAUCUACAACCUCGACGACGUCGUGACCCCCGCCCAGCUCCGCGCCAGCAUCUCCCAGCAGAUCCGGAAGAACCAGGGCGUCUCCGACCCCAAGGUCAUUGAUAUGCUUCUCUUCAACGGGAUGGAGGAGCUGAACAACAUCACCGAGCACGCGAAGCAGCGCCACCACAUCAUCGGGCAAUAUGUGGUUGGCCACAAGGGGCUGGUGCAGGACCUGGAAAAGGACCAAGGGAGCUCCGAGUUCCUGAAGAAAUUCUACACCAGCAACUACUAG